rnacentral:rRNA from 1 species
GACGAACGCUGUUGGCGUGCCUAACUCAUGCAAGUCGAGCGAAGUGAGUACUACGGUACGAACUUAGCGGCGGACGGGUGAGUAACGCGUGGACAAUCUACCCUGUAGACUGGGAUAACACCUCGAAAGGGGUGCUAAUACCGGAUAAUGUCGAGAAGCGGCAUCGCUUUUCGAAGAAAGGAGAGAAUCCGCUAUAGGAGGAGUCCGCGUCCCAUUAGCUAGUUGGUGAGGGUAACGGCCCACCAAGGCGACGAUGGGUAGCCGGCCUGAGAGGGUGAACGGCCAAACUGGAACGGAGACACGGUCCAGACUCCUACGGGAGGCAGCAGUGGGGAAUAUUGUGCAAUGGGGGAAACCCUGACACAGCAACGCCGCGUGAGCGAAGAAGGCCUUCGGGUUGUAAAGCUCAAUAGUAUGGGAAGAUAAUGACGGUACCAUACGAAAGCCCCGGCUAACUACGUGCCAGCCGCCGCCGUAACA